AUGGAAUAUUGCAUUGCCAAGGCAAAUAAUUGAUUAUACAUUCUGAUAACGCUCUUUUCAUCUAUUUCAGGUAGUACUAUUAUCAGAAAUGUAAUGAUUUGGAGCUAUAAAUGAUGGAAGAUUUAUGUACAGUUUUCCAUAAGAAGUGGUUCUUCAGAACGGGCUUGGAUUUGUUCCUCCGUAUCUGCCUCUUGCCUCCUGCAUUUUAGAAGGUUUGAAAACCACUGCCAGGUAAGAGUUUCUUUUUGAUGUGUUUGAUGUUGCAGUCUCCUCUGUUCAUACUGCCAGUUCAUUUGCAGGUAUUCUGUCUAGUAGUUUUUCAUAAGUAAAUUUUACUAUUUAUUAGCAUAAGCUAGAAAGAUGAAGUAGUAAAGAAUUUGGACUCUUCCUUUCACAAACAGAAAGAAUUGAG
rnacentral:lncRNA from 1 species